GCAGAUGUAGUUCAUCGGUAGAAUGCGACCUUCCCAAGGUUGAGAGGCGGGUUCGAUUCCCGUCAUCUGCU
rnacentral:tRNA from 3 species